AUGGCAAACUCUGCAACUAACACUGAAAAUCAAGAUUCGUCGCGUAACUCUCCUUCGAGCUUCUUCAAUCCGAACUCCAACAACACCUAUAAAAAUGCACAAAUUCGUCGUGAAUCCUCAAAUCCCAAUGAAGGUUCUAAGGAAGUCCUUCUUGAAGAGUUUAUGGAAUUCAAUGGACUUUACUGCUUCCCUAAUCUCACAUUGAAUAAAGCCAGGACUCCUUGCAAAGAGGAUGUGGCUUCUUCCAUUGGUUUCACGAGGAAUUGGCAGAGAAAUUGGAAGAAGACAUAA